rnacentral:lncRNA from 1 species
UCACAAAAAACCCUAAAAACAAGAAUAAAAGCAAUCUUUUCAUCUGCAUAAUGAUUGUCUUGUUUGACUUCCAAAAAGCUUUUCAUAUCAAAUCAUUAUGCAGGUUGAUUCUCAAACCCAUUGAACAUAAUGAUCGGACGUCAUCUCCCAACUUUGAAUUCCCUGUAUGCGAAGCAGAAGAAGAUGAUGUUGAAGGGAUUCCUGACGAGAUUUCCCGACUUCUUGGGCAAGAAAAGAAGAUCACUCAGCUGCAUCUCGAGAAUCAGCAGAACAGCCAACUGGGGCAUUAAAA